GGGGUUCUGUCCUACACUGGGCUGUGGCUCUGGGCAGUCAGUGCAUCACAGAACUUGGU
rnacentral:pre_miRNA from 1 species